UGUCUGAUGAAACUACACAUCCUUCAGAAAUGCUGAAGUGUCUUUUAUUUUGCUAGGGUCGUUGUACAAAAAAUAAACCAUUAUUUUACAAAGGAAUGAUUGUUGUACCAGAUAAUAUCACUAUGAAAAAAGUUCCAAGUAUUGAAGGAAUGAUGGUUUAUCGUAAAGACAAAAAUAAA